UUUUUACACCCCAACUCCUCCCUGCCUCACCAGUAGCCUCUUGCUCCUUUCCACUUCGCUCAACUUCCCCAUUUUCCUCAUCUCGACUCCCCACUUAUAAGAGACACAAUUUGUUGGUAGACUUAAUAUUUAGCAAUAAAUACUCAUUGAUAAUGUUUUUUUCGCCUACUUUUUAGGAUGAGAAGAAAGAAACUGUUGUUGCAGGAAAAAUGAAUGUGGCACUAGUUGAAGAGAAAACAAUGGAUGAUGAACCUGUCAUAUAUGUUACAAAGCAGGAGGCCAAAAAUGAGUUUAAAGCACUAUUAGAGUCUGCAAAUGUGGAGGCGGAUUGGACUUGGGACCAGAUAAAUUGAAUGUUCCGCUCUGUUCUUCUGUUAUUGUCUUGAAUUUGUUACAUGUUGAUAUGCAAUGAUGUAUCAGGCUACGAGGGUGAUUAUUAAUGACAAAAGAUAUGGUGCUGUUUUUGGUUUGCAGUAUCUAUUAUAAAAGGCUUAUCUAGUAUUUUUUAUUUGCUUAAGGAAUCCGAAGAACUCACAUCAUCUACACGAUGGAGGUUUGUUCACACUUCUAUUUUUUCUUGCUCAAAUUUAUUUAAGAAUUUUUUGGUCUAACUUCUUAUACAACCACCAGCAAAGCAUUGACAAUGUUUGAAGAUCUUAGUUUUUUCUUUUCUAGCUAUUUAUACUUAGCUUCAUCUCUGUGCUGAUCCGAAGCAUAUGUUAUGUUAUAAAUUGGUCUAUCUUACUACAACUUAUGUAAUAGCAGGAAAUGUUAGACAUCAUCUUCUUUGAUUUUCAGAUUUCAUUCUGCGUUUUGGCAGAUGGAAGUUUGGAUGAAUGGAUUGCUUUUGACUUAAAGCUGCUUCAGAGUAUCAUUUUUCGUUGAAAAUUGUAAAUGACUACUCUAGCUACUUAGAUACAUUACUUUAGUUAGUAAAGUAUUGGAUUGUUAAGUUAUUU